AGCAGUCGCCGCGGGAAUACGUAGGUGGCGAGCGUUGUCCGGAAUUAUUGGGCGUAAAGGGAGCGCAAGCGGGCGAGUAAGUCUUUCUUAAAAGUGCGGGGCUCAACCCCGUGAGGGGAGAGAAACUACUCAUCUUGAGUGCAGGAGAGGAAAGCGGAAUUCCUAGUGUAGCGGUGAAAUGCGUAGAUAUUAGGAAGAACACCAGUGGCGAAGGCGGCUUUCUGGACGGUAACUGACGCUGAGGCUCGAAAGCCAGGGGAGCGAACGGGAUUAGAUACCCCAGUAGUCCCUGUCUCUUAUACA
rnacentral:rRNA from 1 species